rnacentral:rRNA from 1 species
CCUGGCGGCACUAGCGCGGUGGUCCCACCUGACCCCAUGCCGAACUCAGAAGUGAAACGCCGUAGCGCCGAUGGUAGUGUGGGGUCUCACCAUGCGAGAGUAGGGAACUGCCAGGC